rnacentral:lncRNA from 1 species
GUGUGCUUCCUUUGCCAGUCUUUUAUAUUUGUUCGAUUCGUUCAUUUUAUAGAACGGAUAUACGGUAAAUUUUCCACUACUGCACAUUUCGAAAUGUUCGCUCACAUCUUGCAUUCGUGUGGAUGGAUCUCGUAUCUGUUGUCUGUGAACACGAACUCUUUGACAAAUUGAGUUACCAGUCUGUCCGAUGUACCAUUCCUUGCAAGUGCUGCAUACAAUACAGUAAAUAAGGUUUACCGUUUUGCAAUUCAUGUCUGCAUUUGGAACAAUGGUUUGGCCGUUUUUCAAUGUUAUUUGCGGGCCGGUUGCCAUGUAUUCACAAAGACCACAUCUAGGGUCAUUACAUUUUGAAACGUUGUAUUGUAUUCCAUUUGGGUCAUAAAACUUAG